UUGGGUUCCGAAGCUGCAUCACUUACAUUAGAAUGGGCAGAUAGUUUCUCUGUGAAGCCCACGUAUGUCGCAAUGAUGUGUGGAAUAUAAGGAGAGUGCUGCGCUGCGCAGGCAUUCUAUGUGGUCAAGUUGAACUGUUGAUCUUCUUUUGGUAAUUUUGAUUGGCUCGGCACUCUUAGUUCAUGCUGAAUCUGUUUGCUUAUGGAUUUUGACCUUUGCCAAUGGCAUUACCAAUGAGUUGUUGCGCUCAGGUUGAGUGUGGUUGAUUGGAGUACCAGCAGGUUUCAAGUUGAAUACAGAACUGGCAGGAGUUCUUGGCGUGAUUUCUCUAAAUGCAAUACAAAUAUGGCCUACCCUUUGGAUCUUAAUUGAUUUCCUCUUCAUUUAUUUCAUCAAGGGACUUGGUCUACUGGGGAUUCUUUUUGGAGCAACCAUUCCUUCUGCUUUGAUCAUAGAUAUGGUUUCCCUAGCAACAUUGCACGUGUCAACUCUUCACUGGGCAGUCUCAGUCUUGUAUUCCCGGCAAAUACAAGCUUUAUCAGCUCUGUGAUAUCCUUUCAGGGGUCGAAAGUGGAAUCCUCUUCGUCGGAGAUUAGAUAGCUUUGACUACACAGUGAGGCAGCAUAUUGUGGGUUCCCUUCUGUUCACUCCGCUUUUACUUCUGUUUACCAACUUCUGUUUUCUAUAUUUUCUUCACCAUUUUGAGCACAGCCAUUGCGCUCA